AUCUUUAAAGGUGAGUUCUAGUGAUGGAAUAUUAAAAAAAUUAAAAAGUUUCCCGGCCAUCACAAGAGUUAAUGAAGUUUUCAUAAAACAUAAAUACUCAGUGAAUAUCUACGCAGUCGUUCCAUUUGAUAUUAUUUCGAAUUUUCAGUGAUAGAUAAUCUUGGAAAAAGUUUGUUUUCGAGAUGGCCAUAACUAAAAGGAGCAAGACUGAUAAAACAGUCGCACCCGAGACCCCUAAAAAAGAAAUCAAGAAGAAGUCCGGAAAGCCCAGAAAUUAUGACUUGGGCAACGGAGUCCUUCGGUUCUCUAGAACCAAAAUGUUCCACAAGAAAGCUAUUUACAAAUUCAUCGGUAAGAAAACUAAAGCCGCCCCCAAAAAAAAGGAGAUAGUCGUGGUCGAAAAGCCCAUCGGUGGUGAGAAAAAUGGAGAAAAACGAAUUGUUUUAGUGAAGAAACGAAGGGCUUCUUAUCCAACUCAAGAUAA